GCUCCAGUGGCGCAAUCGGUUAGCGCGCGGUACUUAUAAGACAGUACACUUUGAGCAAUGCCGAGGUUGUGAGUUCAAGCCUCACCUGGAGCA
rnacentral:tRNA from 1 species